GUUUUGAGGUAGCAGUAAUGUUAAGUACGAAAAUGGAACCAGGAACUCCAACUCCCAGAAUCCCCUGCUUUAAGCCACACCCACAGUUCACCUGCUUGCUAAUAAAUCUCACCUGGUAGGUGAUUAGUUCUGUUUGGUGGUUAGUUUUUCUAUCUAGUCUGAGUGUCCAGUUUAAUCAACGUGUUUUUUUUCCAUCUAGUUUCCUUCAUCCCUUUUUAAUAUUUUUAAAUUCUUUAUUUUUUUUUUGUUUUUAAGUUUGUUUCGUGUUUAAUUUUUGUCAGUGUUUCAUCCAGUUGUUAGUUUCUUAAUCACCCCCCCCCCCCCCCCUUUUAAAAUCCAUUCUUGCUGCAGUAGUCUAAGGCUGAGAGACUUCAGAGGCACGUGAGCCGUGGAUCAUUUGGACGCAGUAAAAUAUUCUGCUGCCGAGUAAAACUGAGGUGGUGUCACGUGCAGGGGACACAGGAGAGACGGUGUACCUGAACACGGUGAUCUAGACUGUUCUGCUCUUAUGGUUCCAGGUGCAUGUAAAACAAUCAGCUGUUGUGUCAGGAUGUGAGAUGCGGCCACGCCUCAAAUCAUCGUAGAAGAGGGAACAAACCCAAGCAAGCCACCCACGUGGUUACCAAAGAGCGUGCCAUGUCCCAAUCCAACAUAACGCAGUUUUCCCUGCUCCUGUGAUAAUUUGUCUGGACUCCAUCGUGCUCAGGUGCUGCUAUCCGUUUCGGAUACGACAAUCCGUCCGUCCGUCUCGGCGUAAUCAGACGCUCGGAUUCAGCAGCACGAGAACCAUCACGGAGCAAUCAGAUGGCUAUGAGGCCGCGUCGGCCAUCUGCUUUCCCCUUUUAUUAAGUUGUUGGAGUCGAUACGCUUGUUUGGAGUGGACUUUCACACCCCUCUGAUCCCAGGUCCCAGUUCACUCUUGGUGUGUUUACUCAGAAGAACGUCUGAACAUCCGUCAAAGCGCAGCGCAAUCUCGCGUAUUAGCUGAAGUGGAGAGGAAGAGGAGCAAAGGAUGAGGUAAAGUUGAGGAAAAGCAGAAGAAGGAAAGAGUCAGUGUUCACACCACCAGCCAGUGAUGAAGCUAGAAGAAAACAGAAAACACAUGAGAACAUCACAUGCAGCUCUUAGGAUUUGUUUUGGUCAAGUGCAAAAGUUAGCAUCCCCUAAGAAGUAAAUGAAGAAAAGUUAUAUGAAAGAAAAGCAAUUUUUCUAAAAAUUAUGUAGCAGAAAUGGUUCAAUUGUGCAUGUUUAAGACGAGCUUAAAAGUCUCAUCUGAACGUACCGUGAACUGUCGCACUUCACCGCGCUCCACCAGGUGAUGCUCCGUCUCUGGCGUGAUUGCGUACGCCAGUUUCUACAACCAGAAAACAAAUGAUUCAAAACAAUUUAGUCAGAAGUUGGCGACACUCGAAGCAUUUCGAAACCUUCAGGGUUCUGUGGUUGUGCCUCUGAGGGAAGCUUACAACAAAGCGGUGUCCUCUCGUAAAUGGUUCCAAGCAGGAUCCUUUAGGAAGCUAAGAAGCCAGAGAGCACUUGAAGAACUCCCCGAGGAACCCUUUUUUCAAACAGUGUGGGUAUUAACUCGGUAAGUGUGCGGUACAAACCGGAAAUUAUUGCCCAUUAUUGUCUCUCUUAAUCUCUAGAACUUUUCAGGAGUUUAACAUUUUAGCUCUUGGUACCUUCUAUACUAGUAGGUUAGAGGGGGAUGACAUGUACCACCAGGGAACCACCGUAAGAUGCUUAAGUACAGCCAGAAAGUUCCGAACAUAUAAACACUUAACGUAAGCACUGCGGUGGACCUACGGUGCAGAAGCUUCCGGGCAGGACGCAGAACUUGUAGAUGGCGUAGAUGGGAACCAUGAUCAUGGAGGAGAUGGACAGACACCAGCCGAGCAUGUUGGCCCAUGUGGGGAACGAGUAGGAGCCGUAUUUCGGGGGGUUGAAGGUCGCGAAGCUCACCACCACCAUGAACUAGAUACAGGGUGGAAAAGGGAGAAAAUGCAGGAAUUCGUGUACGACAGGUGGGGGGAAAAAAACAACCACAACUCUUGACCAAUCAGACACCAAACAGGUUUAACGUUUUACUCAUUUCUCUAGUCAAGCUCCAGUGCAAAGAUAUUUAAAUACAAAAAAAGAAAUAUUAAUAAAUGCUUGUUCUGUUUCCCUUUAAGGUUUCUGGCUUUUCUUAAAUGCAAGCUAGUUAGCUAAUCAGCUAUUUGAUCAGUCGUUAGCUGGUAAGUUUAAUACUAAUAAUGUUGGCUAGGGAAACGAUACUUGUUUGCUUUCUAAACUAGUUAUUUUGGAGCUAGCAAGUGUUAACUAGCUCUCUAGGUCUACAGGUAUGAAACUAUUUUUAAGCUAACUUCAUUAGCAUUACGUGGAUCUACAAGCACUAGCAUGUGGCAAUAGUGUUUUGUUUUUACAACCUGGAGGUGAAAACAUAAGCUUAGUCAAGAGUGGUGCUUUCGGGAACUCUGAACCUUUUGGUAACUAGCGCUGGUUUAGCGCGGUUAAUUUCCAGCUGCAUAACCACCAAAACUUCUAUAAGUGAUGAGAGAGAGUCGUGUACCAGCAGGAAACAGGGACUGACGUAUUUCCAGCAGAGUCGCCAGUAAAUUCCUGGUCGUUGCCCAAUCAUCUCCUGGAUAUCGUCACUGAAACGAUCCACACC